GGGGGGGGGGGGGCAGCAUGGAUGUCACAUCCCCCUCUUCAGAAAACUGGAGCAGGAAGCGGAAAGGAACGAGUUUAAAUGCUCUUUUGUGUUGAUGUUUUGAGCUGUUUAACGUUAAUUUGUCAAGCAAUUUAGAGCUAUUUGACAUCUAUUUAAUUAAAGAUUACAGGUCUCUUUGAAAAGCUGCCAAUACUAAGGGGGAAAUAACAGGAAAUCGACAUGAACCUAGAGCGCCUUCCAAAUGAGGAGAAACUCACCCUCUGCAGGAAAUACUAUUUAGGGGGAUUUGCAUUCCUUCCAUUCCUGUGGCUGGUGAAUGUGGUGUGGUUUUUCAAAGAGGCCUUUGUAAAGCCAACAUAUACUGAACAACUCCAGAUCAAAACAUAUGUAAAGCGUUCAGGGCUGGGGUUGCUACUGUGGGUUGCAGUACUCACCACAUGGAUAACCAUAUUCCAACACUUCAGAGCAGAAUGGGGUGAGGUGGGCGACUACCUCUCCUUCACCAUUCCACUUGGCAUUCCCUGAGACAGACAAGGCGGGAAACAAGAAAGCUUCCUACUGUAUAAAACUUGACCAUGACAGAAUUAAUAGACAAAUAUAACAGGUUGAAAUAGUUAAAUGUGUAGUUGAUCUCAAUGGAUAAUCAUAGUAAUUUUUUCUGGGCUUUAAUGAGUGGGAAGAUGUCUUGUGAACACUGCACCUUUUUCCCAAAAUUGUGUGUAGUGUGUGGAUGUCUCAACGCGUUUGAGUAAAUUUGGAAGGUUAAACAGGCGAAUGGCAUGUAUGACAAAAAUAAAUGGCAAAUUCAUAAACGUUCUAAAUUAAAUGGAAGUGUAUGCUUUAUUUGCUGUAAUAAAGUUUUGAGCUUAUAUGCUAGAUCGUGGUCUAGUGUGCAUUUCAUUAGACAUUUGGCUCCUUUUGAUAACAAUAUCCAAUUAGCUUUGUGUUUAGUAAGUCAGUAUUUGUGUAACACUGCUCACGAUAACAACAUACUUAUUCCAGAUCAUUUAUUCAUAUACUCCUUUGUACUCUCACAGUGUAAACAAUUCAGACAGUGAUGAGAUAUUUGCCAGUAAAGUACUUUAUGAUUGCAGCAUUAUGAUUAAGUCCUUAAAUGAGGUCUGCCUUAGGCCAAUCUCUUAUUAUGAAACUCAAUGCCUCUGUAGCAAAUGUUACCACCCCUCCUCUUCAGAAUCAUGGUUGAUGCUGUUUUUAGGUACUCAGUCAAAGACUACUUCUAUUACCAACCAAUGCCAUCGCAGACACAUCAUCCCACCAGCUCCAGUACUUAACACAUGUCCAUUGAGUGCCAGGGUUGUAUAAGUCACACAACUGUCUGCUCUAAAUGGGGUCAAGAGGCAGUGGAUGUAAACCCAAAUCAGAUGUGUGUGAUGGAUGGUCAUAAGAUACCCAAUCGAUGAGGUGCUAAGACUUGUGACAUGCUGGAGGCUUAUAUGACAUUGUUGUGCAUGUGGUGUCAAUGUAAUUGUAGAACAUGAUGUUCACCCUGCAUGUCAUAAUGACCUAAGGUAGUUUUAAUACGCCCCCAUUCCUAUCCAGGACAAAGUGGCUCGGGGAGACUGGCCAACAUUAGUCACGGAUUUGUUCAUCCCUCUGUUUGGGAUUUCUAUCUCUAGAAAUGACAGAAUUUUAAAAAUAUUGAAUAAUUUUCCAAAUAUAUGCCAAUGUGAUUGAAGAUUAGUGUGCUUAACACCUGCUUCACAUUGAUCAAAAGAUCGUUACAUAAACAAUGUAACAGAAAAAUCUGAAGUAUGUAGACCUAUAAAAUAAAUAUUGUAACAUCUUUAAUAUUCCAGUGUUUGGGAAAAUAUCUUUACAUGGUGUGACAUUGACAAUGUUUGUGACCUUGUUCAACCUCUGUUUAAUAAAGGGAGGUAGAAGAUAAUAAUCCCCAUUCCCCAAUUAUUAACCCGGGAUAAACACCGUUUAUACAGUGUAGGCCUAAUGGAUAAUCAUUUUAAGCCUGUCAGAAAAUAAAAUUGCAAUAUCUAAUAACUUUUCAAGGAAUCUGUAACAGCAAUUAUUGAGCAGUCCAGUCCGUUAUGCAGUGUAUCCCUAGAAGGAAGAGUCUGAACUGUUGCCUGGCAGAACACUGUAUUCAGAUUACCGCUUUUGGCUGUGUUGAAUGCCAAUUGCCAAAUCACCAAAAGGGGCUCCACCAGAGCUCCCAACAGUUGUCAAGGAAAACAACUAUGUUAGGUUAAUUAAAAAGGUGCAUGAGAUGGAAACAUUCCUAUUAUCACACAUACAUACACUGGCAUGUGAAUAUUGCCACGUUUACGUGGUAGUCGGAACUAGGAAACUAAAAUUCCCGACUUGCUAACUGGUCGUGGUUACAGUAUGCAAUCAGUUAGCAAAUCAGACAUUUACGAGUUUCCUAGUUCUGACUAACACUUGAACGCGGCAUAUCACCCUUUACUGGCACAUGCUGUCUGGCACGGAUGCACUGUUUGGGGGGUUCAACCCUUUGUAUCAUAAAUACAGACCUUAACUGCACUUCCACAAUUUAUGUCAGGGAAAAGGGCAGAGUCAGAUACACGGACGCAGCAAUCCAUCCUAUUGGCAGUCAGAACAUAAUACGAUUUGCAGGCAUCUCAUAACGACGAGAAAUGGACUUCGAUCUGCCACCCAGUUUUCCAGCCAGUGGUAUCGCAUGGGAGAGGGUCCUGCCGCCUCUUCUUCCCGGGCAGAACGGGACAUUCGGGCUGUACUCAUUCACGCCGUCGGAGCUGCUCACCCCAGUGACAGAGCACACUGGCCCUGCACAGGUGUGUUGUGACCACAGUAGAUUCACAGUUCAGGUUGAUGUGAAACACUUCAACCCAGAGGAGCUGAUGGUCAAGGUGACAGGAGACUUUGUGUAGGUCCAAGGGAAACACAAAGAUAAAAAAGAUGGGUCGGGGGUGGUGACGCGAUAGUUCAACCGACGCUACAGGAUUCCAGAGGGAGUGGACUCCAUGGCUCUGUAGUCGGCUGUGUCGCCUGAAGGCUUCCUCAUCAUAUCUGCCCCUAUGCUGCAGGGGGAGAACUCCAGACACCUGUCCCACUCAGAAUCAUGAGCAUACACACCCUAGGAAUAAACACACAAUCCAUAGGAACCAGUGUUGGGGAGUAGUAAACUACAUGUAAUUUAACUACAUUUUGCAGUAGAUGGUGGCAGUUCAAAUCUUGGUAGUAUUUAGUAGUUAACUUCUUUUUUUGCCAUGUAGCUAACUACUGGGAUUACACUACUUUUUUUGCAAAUAGAAAAUUAAUUAUGGGUGUAGUAAGCAAUAAUUUCCUUUCUUUUUCGGUAUUACUCCUUUCUAGUUCUCACUUGAAACAUAGUUGUUUAGUAUGCUAAAUUACACAUUCUGUUAACAUCUUACUCCAGAGUGAACUGUUCUUGCAAUUUGUAGUCUGACAUUUCAAACUUAAAUAUGAUCAUUUAUCACAAAGUAGUUUGAUGUAGUGAACUCUUUUCAAAUGCAUUUUAGUUAAAGAAAAUAAAAAUGUAGUUAAGGGUAACUUUAUUGUGGCUUAACUUCUUCCAGUGUGAAGUAAUUGGUAGCUUGGUAAACUAUGCACACACAAAAAUACAGGCACUCUCCUCCAACAGACAUAUCAAACACUCACCAAGGAACUGGUGCCUGCCUGUACCAAAACACCCAUUAACUACGCCAUCACACCAUUAAAAUUCCCUGCUCUCUCUCUGAGGUUUGUACAUAUUAACAGGACAGAUUCCUCAUUUAAAAGCAUCCCUCAUCCUAAAGAAUCCCAUUUAACUCAAUCUUAAAAUGUUUUUAUGGAACCGUUCAUUGUAAAUAUGAUAUAAAACCAUUGAAAAUUAUGAUUUGUAUUGUGUGGAGUGUCUAAUGCCCUCUAAGUCAUGAGUAAAUGUUUUAACACUCCGAGAUUAUCAAGUAUGUUCACAAAACCCAACAGUAAGGUUGUUGUAUAUUUUCUAACUAUUUAUUGUAAGAAGAGAAUUAGUUCAAAAUAAAUGCACUAUAUAUUUUUGUACAAAAA